rfam:Picea glauca, whole genome shotgun sequence.
ACAUGCUUACAACAUAGUGUUAAUGCAUUGAAUCUCAUUAGAACUAUGCAGUUAAGCAUGCUUGAUCUUGAGUAGUACUGGGAUGGGUGACCACUUGGGAAGUCCUAGUAUUUUACAUUCC